UACAGAGGUCUCAAGCGUUGUUCGGAAUCACUGGGCGUAAAGCGUGCGCAGACGGUCAUGUAAGUCGGGUGUGAAAGCCCCGGGCUCAACCUGGGAAUUGCAUUCGAGACUGCAUGGCUAGGGUGCGGAAGAGGGAAGCGGAAUUUCCGGUGUAGCGGUGAAAUGCGUAGAUAUCGGAAGGAACACCAGUGGCGAAAAGCGGCUUCCUGGUCCAGCACCGACGUUCAGGCACGAAGCGUGGGAGCAAACAGG
rnacentral:rRNA from 1 species